UCCGUAGGCGGUUUAGUAAGUCAGUGGUGAAAGCCCAUCGCUCAACGGUGGAACGGCCAUUGAUACUGCUAGACUUGAAUUAUUAGGAAGUAACUAGAAUAUGUAGUGUAGCGGUGAAAUGCUUAGAGAUUACAUGGAAUACCAAUUGCGAAGGCAGGUUACUACUAAUGGAUUGACGCUGAUGGACGAAAGCGUGGGUAGCGAACAGGAUUAGAUACCCUGGUAGUCC
rnacentral:rRNA from 1 species